GUGCCCCCUGCACUCCAGGUGUGUGCCCAGGUGUGCCUCCUGCACUCCAGGUGUGCCCCCUGCACUCCAGGUGUGUGCCCAGGUGUGUUCCCCCCACAUCCCAGGUGUGCCCUCUGCACUCCAGGUGUGCCCAGGUGUGUUCCCUCCACAUCCCAGGUGUGCCCCCUGCACUCCAGGUGUGUGCCCAGGUGUGUUCCCUCCACAUCCCAGGUGUGCCCCCUGCACUCCAGGUGCGUGCCCAGGU